rnacentral:rRNA from 1 species
UCGAGAAUCAUUCACAAUGGGCGAAAGCCUGAUGGUGUGACGCCGCGUGGAGGAUGAAGGUCUUCGGAUUGUAAACUCCUGUCAAGUGAGAGUAAAGCCGGGCAUUAACUGUGUGCCGGUGUGAGAGUAUCACUAGAGGAAGGGACGGCUAACUUCGUGCCAGCAGCCGCGGUAAUACGAAGGUCCCAAGCGUUGUUCGGAAUCACUGGGCGUAAAGGGUGCGUAGGCGGCACGGUAAGUCAGAUGUGAAAGCCCGGGGCUCAACCCCGGAACUGCAUCCGAUACUGCCGUGCUCGAGGACUGGAGAGGAGUCUGGAAUUCACAGUGGAGCAGUGAAAUGCGUAGAUAUUGUGAGGAACACUAGCGGCGAAGGCGAGACUCUGGACAGAUCCUGACGCUG